rnacentral:rRNA from 1 species
CAAUAGCGUAUAUUAAAGUUGUUGCAGUUAAAAAGCUCGUAGUUGGACUUCUGCGGGUGGCGGCCGGUCGUGCUCGAAACGGGCGUGAACUUGGCGUGCUGCCCGCAUCUUUGGGGAGAUUGUGCGUGGCAUUAAGUUGUCGUGCAUGGGAUUCUCAUCAUUUACUGUGAAAAAAUUAGAGUGUUUAAAGCAGGCCUUUGCCUUGAAUACAUUAGCAUGGAAUAAUAAGAUAGGACCGUUGUCUAUUUUGUUGGUUUACAGAUGUCGGUAAUGAUUAAUAGGGAUAGUUGGGGGUAUUCGUAUUCAGUUGUCAGAGGUGAAAUUCUUGGAUUUUCGGAAGACGCACGACUGCGAAAGCAUUUACCGAGGAUGUUUUCAUUAA